rnacentral:tRNA from 1 species
CUCAUAGCUCAGCUGGUUAGAGCACACGCCUGAUAAGCGUGAGGUCGGUGGUUCGAAUCCACUUGUGCCC